rnacentral:rRNA from 1 species
AGUGAACGCUGGCGGCAGGCCUAAUACAUGCAAGUCGAACGGCAGCACAGCAGAGCUUGCUCUGUGGGUGGCGAGUGGCGGACGGGUGAGGAAUACAUGGGAAUCUGCCCAGUCGUGGGGGAUAACGUAUGGAAACGUACGCUAAUACCGCAUGCGCCCUACGGGGGAAAGCCGGGGACCGAAAGGCCUGGCGCGAUUGGAUGAGCCCAUGUUCGAUUAGCUAGUUGGCGGGGUAAAGGCCCACCAAGGCGACGAUCGAUAGCUGGUCUGAGAGGAUGAUCAGCCACACUGGAACUGAGACACGGUCCAGACUCCUACGGGAGGCAGCAGUAGGGAAUAUUGGACAAUGGGGGCAACCCUGAUCCAGCCAUGCCGCGUGAGUGAAGAAGGCCCUCGGGUUGUAAAGCUCUUUUGUCCGGAAAGAAAAGCAUUCGGUUAAUACCCGGGUGUUCUGACGGUACCGGAAGAAUAAGCACCGGCUAACUUCGUGCCAGCAGCCG